rnacentral:lncRNA from 1 species
AGACAAUGAUGAUAGAGGAAAGAAAGGCCCAAGGACGGCAUGCUGAGAAUGUCUAGUUUUAGAAUGUGAUGGAGAAGGAUGAAUAAGCAAGACAAACUGGGGAGGAAAAAAAUGCAGGAGCAGGUCCCAGAGAAGUCAUGUCAAAAGCAGAGCGCGUGUGUCAAGUACACCUGAAAGAAUGAGAAGUUGAAGGUAGAGAUGACAAGUCUUUGAGACCUGACAGAACACUUUCAAGCUCACAUGCUGUGUCCUCAUGCUCAGCAGCUCCGCUCCUGUGUCCUCCUAUUCCAGGCACAUCCACGGAGAAGGGGGACUAGUUGGGGAAGCCAAACAGAGGGUUAGAAGAGUAGCAUCUUUUGCUGUCCCUGUGUCAACCUUAAUUCUGCUUUUUGCAUAGGUCUUCUCAGCGCUACCUUCCCUCUCCUCUGGAUGUA